ACUCCCCCACUCUCCUCCAUUAUUGCUAGAACCCACUCCAUAUGUCCUCGGCCGACCGUUCGCUGGACCAAAUCCCGGCAUCCCAACCGCCAGCUCUGGCCCCUGUCCCUUCCGCUCUUCUCCCUCGCCUCCCUCCAAGUCGCCGCCGCGCCCACGCCCUCGGCGGGCGGUGCUUCCCGGCCGCCAUCUCCGCGAAUCUCCACCCCGGAUCGCCAUGGUGAGCUUCUCGGCGGAGGAGAACGGCAGCGGCGGCGGCAGUCGUUCGGGAGAUGGGGAGCGGGGGGCGGGAGAUAAGCCGGCGAACGCAGAGAGAACGGGUCCGACUUCAUUCGUCGCAAGGCGUCUCGUCGAUCCCAGCCGUCCGCCCAACUGGAGCUAGAUCUCCGCCGUCCGAUCUCAUCUCCACCGCGUGAUUGGGUCUUCUGGGACGACGCAGACACGAUGGAGACGAAUCCGGAUGCACGGUUGGUUAAAGCAUCAAUAAUGACUGUAGGAUCACAAUCUCACGGUUAUCCAUUUUUAGUUUUGUUAUAUUUUUUCAUUUAUCUGUUAAGGGUACCCCUCUGUUUCCAUAGAUGAACCUCCUUGUCAGGCAAAGGUCGAUAAAAGUGGAGUGUAGCUAGAACGUUUUUUUUUCCCCCAUUUAUCUGUUAAUUUUUUAGGACAAUAUUCUGAAAGGGGGGAUUGGGCAUGGUGAUCUCUAAGCUUCUCCUGGUUUGGUGCUAACUAAGGAAUUCUAUGAGGUAAUUUCAGGUAAUUCAUUCACCACCAUUAUCUU